GUCCCCGUGGCCCAGUGGACAGGGCGCCCGCCUCCGGAGCGGGAGGACAUGGGUCCGAAUCCCAUCGGGGACACGA
rnacentral:tRNA from 1 species